rnacentral:snRNA from 1 species
AUACUUAUUUAAUGCCGGGAACUCCGAGAUCAGGAGGACGGAAACCCCAGGAGGAGGACCUUCCAUUGCACCUCGGAAAAGCUGAGACCUGCCACUCCCCUAAAUUGAGAAAGAUGGGGCACGUGAUUUUUGGUAGAUUUUGCUAUUUAUCAUACGAAUU